UGUCCCCGUAGGUGGCCACCUGUCCCCGCGGUACCUGCGCGGUGACGGCGUAGAUGCGCUCGAAGGAGUCGCGUUCGUCGCGUGGGGAGGUGG
rnacentral:tRNA from 1 species